AGCAAUAAAUACCUCUUUGUUGCCCUCUGCAAUUGGAAGAUCAAGAAACAGUAGUCACGCGGAAUUAGAAAGCAGCGCGAAUACCAGUUUAACCCUCGCGUACGCUGUGAGAGAUGGAAGGUUGCGAUGCAGUAGAAGCUGUAAUCGAAGCAGAUUGGUCAGGCGUAACUGAUGACGAUAUUUUGCAGCAGCACAAUGCCAUCCAAGCCGAGGAGGCCAACAAAAUUCCCUUCGUUGGUGAUAAGGAACCUCUUUCUACCUUGGCAGCUGAGUAUGAAACUGGCAGUGAAAUUUUAAGGGAAAAAAUUCAGAUGCUGGGUGAGACAUAUGGGCGAAUUCGACGUACACGUGGUGAUGGGAACUGUUUCUUUCGUUCUUUUAUGUUUUCAUACCUGGAGCAUAUAUUGGAGAUCCAAGAUCAAGCGGAGGUGCAGCAUGUUUUGAAGAAUAUCGAGCAAUGCAGGACAACGCUUCUGGACCUUGGAUACCAAGAGUUCACUUUUGAAGACUUUUUUCAACUAUUCAUUGAUCAGUUGGAGGAUGUGCUUCCAGGGAAGGAAUCAUCUAUAAGUAUUGAUACACUUCUUGAGAGGAGCCGAGAUCAGUUAAUAUCGAACUAUAUUGUGAUGUUUCUAAGAUUUGUUACGGCUGGUGAAAUUCGUCGAAGAGCUGAGUUUUUUGAGCCCUUUAUAGUUGGUGUAAGCAGCAGUUCAAGUGUUGAGCAGUUCUGCAAAACAUCUGUUGAACCUAUGGGUGAAGAAAGUGAUCAUGUUCAUAUUAUUGCAUUAUCUGAUGCACUGGGGGUGCCAAUUCGUGUUAUGUACCUUGACCGAAGUUCAUGUGAUCCAAAUAAGAGAGAAGUGAACUGUCAUGAGUUCGUACCUGCCAAUCGCCUGUUAAAAGAGAAAGAACCGGAGAAAAUCGACCCUUAUGUUGUCCUACUGUAUCGACCGGGACAUUAUGAUAUUCUUUAUCCAAAGGAAGAAGAAAGUUGAGGCCUUGAGGUUUGUUUUCUUUGUAUCUAGGCGCUCAAAAGAGUUGAUUAAUGGAAACCUGUUUAAUGCAUCUGAUGGGAACUGUAAGAGCCUUUCCUUUACUGUGGCUUUACGUAAUAAAUGAUUAAUAGAAAGUGUUGGAUUGUGGUGAAAGAUAAAAGAGUGUACAUUUAUAUGUGAGUGAUCUGGAUUCAAUUUUAUGCUGUAUUCAAAAGAGUUGAUUAAUGGAAACCUGUUUAAUGCAUCUGAUGGGAACUAUGUAGUCACAAUUUUUUGGGGGCAAAUGAGGGUUGUAGGAUCUCUCAACAAUGGGACACAGCAAGGGCCUCUUGUAUCUUCUCUUUCUUAUUAUAUCCGAAGUGCUAUUGGUAUAGAGAUUUAUUAGUCGUGUGGUGUGUUAUCUUUCUACGUAGCUUAUAAUAACAUUUGUCUGGUGAUUGAAAAAAUUGUGUUGUAAUUUGAUGUUAAUGGAUGGAAUGGUAAGGGAGAGGGCCUGCUGGGAUAGGAGUUGACAGCCUGGUCCCACAAAAUGUUAACUCUUAACUUUGAUAAUAAGCAUAAAAUUCUCCCCUUUUUUUUCAGGCUGUAUUUAUAAUAUGUAAACAAAAGGACAUGUUAAAUCAACUAUGGGUCUAAUCAUAGACAUUACUUUUCAA